CUUCUGGUUACGGGGCCGUGGCUCAGCUGGGAGAGCGCGUGCUUUGCAAGCAUGAGGUCGUCGGUUCGAUCCCGUCUGGCUCCACCAGAUGGUUUGAUCACCGAGAUCUUGACCGUCGUCCGCGAAACAUCACUUCGCAUCCUGCUAGUCUGGAUAGACAGCAGUUUGCGUGUUUUCUGACAUCGUAAAGAGGAGAUCGAUCCGAGUUGGGUCGUGCAGCAUAUCGUUGCGCGAGCCUUCAUUAUCUCCGGAUCAUUUCGGCGCUCGCUUCCAGCCGUGAGGUUGGAUGCGGGUUGUAAAUGAUCCUUUUAGCGAAGCUUGACCGCCUCGCUAUUGGAACGAUCUUACGAAGCAAGCUGGUCUUUCUAGUCAAUGUCCGGCUGCGGAUAGCGUUCAUCGAGGGCGCGUGCCGCAAGGCAAUUCUGCAGACAACAUUCUGCCGAGUGUGUGGACAUUGAUAAUGAGAGCAAUCAAGUGCCUUAAGGGUGUUCGGUGGAUGCCUUGGCGCUGAGAGGCGAUGAAGGACGUGCUACGCUGCGAUAAGCCGUGGGGAGCUGCGAAGAAGCUUUGAUCCGCGGAUUUCCGAAUGG
rnacentral:misc_RNA from 1 species